GGAUGUGAGGGUGAUCUGGCUGUGACAUCUAUCAUCCCAUUGAUCACCAGGGUUGAUUCGACUGAUCUGGCAGACUAAGCGAGGUGUCUCCUUCCUCCCGCACCACUCC
ensembl:misc_RNA 7SK 7SK RNA